rnacentral:rRNA from 1 species
CCUACGGGAGGCAGCAGUGGGGAAUUUUGGACAAUGGGGGCAACCCUGAUCCAGCCAUUCCGCGUGAGUGAAGAAGGCCUUCGGGUUGUAAAGCUCUUUCGCAAGGGAAGAAAACUUAUGAUCGAAUAAAUCAUGAGGUUGACGGUACCUUGAUAAGAAGCACCGGCUAACUACGUGCCAGCAGCCGCGGUAAUACGUAGGGUGCGAGCGUUAAUCGGAAUUACUGGGCGUAAAGCGUGCGCGGGCGGUUUUGUAAGUCGGAUGUGAAAUCCCCGGGCUCAACCUGGGAACUGCGUUCGAAACUGCAAGGCUAGAGUGUGUCAGAGGGGGGUAGAAUUCCACGUGUAGCAGUGAAAUGCGUAGAGAUGUGGAGGAAUACCAAUGGCGAAGGCAGCCCCCUGGGAUAACACUGACGCUCAUGCACGAAAGCGUGGGGAGCAAACAGGAUUAGAUACCCUGGUAGUCCACGCCCUAAACGAUGUCAACUAGUUGUUGGUAGAGUAAAAUCUAUGAGUAACGUAGCUAACGCGUGAAGUUGACCGCCUGGGGAGUACGGUCGCAAGAUUAAAACUUAAAGGAAUUGACGG